GUGCUAGCUUCAGCAACACAUAUACUAAAAUUGGAACGAUACAGAAAAGAUUAGCAUGCCCCCUGUGCAAGGAUGACAAAAAUAAUUAAAUCCAUUAAAAAAUAAUA